UACGUAGGGGGCGAGCGUUAUCCGGAUUUAUUGGGCGUAAAGCGUGUGUAGGCGGUUUGUUAAGUCUGAGAUUAAAGCCCGAGGCUCAACCUCGGUUCGUUUCAGAAACUGGCAGACUUGAGUGUGGUAGAGGCAAGUGGAAUUUCUAGUGUAGCGGUUAAAUGCGUAGAUAUUAGAAGGAACACCAGUGGCGAAGGCGGCUUCCUGGUCUGCAACUGACACUGAGGCGCGAAAGCGUGGGGAGCAAACAGG
rnacentral:rRNA from 1 species